UAACCAAUUUAAUUUCUUGUCUUUGUUUUCUGUCCUUUUGUAUCGAAAAAGAUUUGCAAGAAGAUAAUCCUAACAAAUACGCCGCCUGUGUAAAGUGUGAAAUGCUCUUCCAUUUGUUAAAAUGGGUGAAUAAAAUUGCGAUGUCAUUGACACCAAAGGUAUAAAACUGUGAGAACCCAUAGAGAAGUAGAAAUCACAAAACUAUACAUGGAUUAAGAUCCAUAACUUUAUCAUGGAGAAAUUAAAUGUAUACAUAGCUGAAGAUCCAUGACAUGUACCAUCUACUAGGACUACUGCAGACACAAUUACAUGUUUCAAAAAGAAAGGAAAGAAAAGUACAAGAAAAAGAAAAAAAAGGGAAAAAAGAAAGGACUUAUGAUCACCCAGCCAGCAAAGGACUAGUUUGUUUGGUGUAAUUAGUCUUAACUUUGGAAUUAGAGGAUUCAAAGGUUGGUGGUUUGUUUUUGCAGCAGCUGUUAAGGUGACCAGUUAUCUGAUCACCCUCUUCUUGUAUGGUUUCCAACCUCUUCUCAAAACUAACAAGCCUCCUUUCCACCCUAAGAACACAUGGCGGCGCUGCUUCUGCCGCUAAUUGCCUAGUGCCGCCUUGUUGCCUCGACAUCUCUCUCUCUCUCUCUCUCUCAACUUAUCUUCUUGUGCUUUCUUUGUGUCUAUAUUGUU